rnacentral:snRNA from 1 species
ACUCAUACCUUGUAUUGGAAAUGCUGUAUCAUAAAAAUGGUUUUCCCAGGCAGAAGCUCAUCCAUUGUACUUUGAGUGUGCUGUUGAUCCCUGUGAUUUCCCCAAAUGUGGGGAACUCAACUGUGUAAUUUGUGUUAAUGAGGGAUUACAUUUAUGAUUUCCUUGG